rnacentral:rRNA from 1 species
UUCCGGAUGAGUUGCGAACGGGUGAGUAACGCGUAGGUAACCUGCCUGGUAGCGGGGGAUAACUAUUGGAAACGAUAGCUAAUACCGCAUAAGAGUAGAUAUCGCAUGAUAGCUGCUUGAAAGGUGCAAUUGCACCACUACCAGAUGGACCUGCGUUGUAUUAGCUAGUUGGUGAGGUAACGGCUCACCAAGGCAACGAUACAUAGCCGACCUGAGAGGGUGAUCGGCCACACUGGGACUGAGACACGGCCCAGACUCCUACGGGAGGCAGCAGUAGGGAAUCUUCGGCAAUGGACGAAAGUCUGACCGAGCAACGCCGCGUGAGUGAAGAAGGUUCUCGGAUCGUAAAGCUCUGUUGUAAGAGAAGAACGAGUGUGAGAGUGGAAAGUUCACACUGUGACGGUAUCUUACCAGAAAGGGACGGCUAACUACGUGCCAGCAGCCGCGGUAAUACGUAGGUCCCGAGCGUUGUCCGGAUUUAUUGGGCGUAAAGCGAGCGCAGGCGGUUAGAUAAGUCUGAAGUUAAAGGCUGUGGCUUAACCAUAGUACGCUUUGGAAACUGUUUAACUUGAGUGCAAGAGGGGAGAGUGGAAUUCCAUGUGUAGCG